AAGGGGCUUCUGGAAAAGUAUGGUCCUGAAAGGGUUCUUGAUACUCCAAUUAUCGAGAUUAUUUUUUUUCACUCACAGUUCCUUGCUCUUUGAUAUCUUAUCACUGUUUAAUCCUAUUGAAGAGUCAUUGCAACUGAAAGAGAAAAUUUAAUAGUUUGUAUCACAACUGACAAGAACAAAUAUUUUUAUAUCGGAAGAUUUUCAGUUUAAAACCCAGAGGACUAGAGGCAGAUUGCAAAAACUAAACUAUCACAUGAGGGGAUAAAUCCUAUCCAUCAUUAUCACUGUUUCUGUUUUCUAUUAGUAAGGAGAUGGCACUAAUUUGUUUGCUAAAUAUAUUGCAGGCUGGGUUCACUGGCAUUGGAGUUGGUGCUGCUUACUAUGGGGUCUAAGGCCGGUUGUCGAGUUUAUGACUUUUAACUUCUCCAUGCAGGCAAUAGAUCACAUUAUUAAUUCUGCUACAAAAUCAAACUACAUGUCUGCUGGGCAAAUAUCUGUACCUAUUGUCUUCAGAGGACCCAAUGGAGCUGCUGUUGGAGUUGGUGCUUAGCACUCUCAAUGUUAUGCAGCUUGCUAUGCCUCAUGCCCUAGAUUGAAGGUAUUGUCACCAUAUUCA